UACGUAGGGUGCAAGCGUUGUCCGGAAUUAUUGGGCGUAAAGAGCUCGUAGGCGGUUUGUCGCGUCGAAUGUGAAAACCCGGGGCUCAACCCCGGGCCUGCAUUCGAUACGGGCAGACUAGAGUUCGGUAGGGGGAGUCUGGAAUUCCUGGUGUAGCGGUGAAAUGCGCAGAUAUCAGGAGGAACACCGGUGGCGAAGGCGGGACUCUGGGCCGAUACUACGUGAGGAGCGAAA
rnacentral:rRNA from 1 species